rnacentral:rRNA from 1 species
UACGUAGGUGGCAAGCGUUGUCCGGAAUUAUUGGGCGUAAAGCGCGCGCAGGCGGUCCUUUAAGUCUGAUGUGAAAGCCCGCGGCUCAACCGUGGAGGGUCAUUGGAAACUGGGGGGACUUGAGUCAGGAAGAGAAGAGUGGAAUUCCACGUGUAGCGGUGAAAUGCGUAGAGAUGUGGAGGAACACCAGUGGCGAAGGCGACUCUUUGGCUGUAACUGACGCUGAGGCGCGAAAGCGUGGGGAGCAAACAGG